rnacentral:tRNA from 1 species
UAAUUUUUAAUUUAAUUAAAAUAUUUCUUUUACAUUGAAAAAAUAAUUUUUAAAAUUAAAAUUAA